GCUUGGGUGUGAUUCUGGAAUAUUACCAAGCUGUCACCUCAGCCACAAAAAGCUUGUAAUAGGUAAACUUGACAUGGGUAAGCUUGGGUGUGAUUCUGGAAUAUUACCAAGCUGUCACCUCAGCCACAAAAAGCUUGUAAUAGGUAAACUUGACAUGGGUAAGCUUGGGUGUGAUUCUGGAAUAUUACCAAGCUGUCACCUCAG